CCCCUCCUGACUGCAAGAUCUCAGACUCUGGAGACAGACCUACCCGGGUUCACAUUCUGCCUGGGCUACUGACCAGCUGUAGGGGCUUUGCACCUGCCUCGGGACCAUUUGUACCAUCCCUAGGUGGUUCUCCAGGGCCACCCGCCUCUGAGCCCAGAUGAGGACUGCACAUGCACCUCCCGAAGGAUGAUGUCACUCCCAUCCAGACAGUGGUUUUGCAUCGGUCCUGUCCUUUCUCAGGGAUGACCCCGAUGCCAGCUGGUUUUCUUCCAAACAAUAAGCUCCAUGAAAGAAGAGGCCACGUUGUUUCUGCAACACCAGACUCAGCAGAGAAGGUGCUUG